CGCCAGCCUGACGGAGCCAGACCGCGUGGGGGAGGAAGGCCCUUGGGUUGUAAACCCCUUUUCUCAGGGAAGAAGUUCUGACGGUACCUGAGGAAUCAGCCUCGGCUAACUCCGUGCCAGCAGCCGCGGUAAUACGGAGGAGGCAAGCGUUAUCCGGAAUUAUUGGGCGUAAAGCGUCCGCAGGGGGCGCAUCAAGUCUGCUGUCAAAGGUCGGAGCUUAACUCCGGUUAGGCAGUGGAAACUGGUGCGCUAGAGGGCGACAGGGGUAGAGGGAAUUCCCAGUGUAGCGGUGAAAUGCGUAGAGAUUGGGAAGAACACCGGUGGCGAAAGCGCUCUACUGGGCCGCGACUGACGCUGAGGGACGAAAGCUAGGGGAGCG
rnacentral:rRNA from 1 species